AACGAACGCUGGCGGCAGGCCUAACACAUGCAAGUCGAGCGAGGACUUCGGUCCUAGCGGCGGACGGGUGAGUAACGCGUGGGAACGUGCCCUUUGCUUCGGAAUAGCCCUGGGAAACUGGGAGUAAUACCGGAUGAGCCCUUUGGGGGAAAGAUUUAUCGGCGAAGGAUCGGCCCGCGUUGGAUCAGGUAGUUGGUGGGGUAAUGGCCUACCAAGCCGACGAUCCAUAGCUGGUUUGAGAGGAUGAUCAGCCACACUGGGACUGAGACACGGCCCAGACUCCUACGGGAGGCAGCAGUGGGGAAUCUUAGACAAUGGGGGAAACCCUGAUCUAGCCAUGCCGCGUGAGCGAUGAAGGCCUUAGGGUUGUAAAGCUCUUUCAGCUGGGAAGAUAAUGACGGUACCAGCAGAAGAAGCCCCGGCUAACUCCGUG
rnacentral:rRNA from 1 species